UUAAAUUUCAGUGAGACAAAACGGCAAGCAUUCUUGCGUAUGUUAAGUAUCUCUGAACCAGAUCAGGUUCUGACUGAUUCAACUUUGUUCUAAGUUCAAUGAACAAGCACUUUGUUGUCUUCACUUAAAUGAACAAGUAGCCCUAACAAAACACGUCACAUGCUCGUUACUGCCACCUCUGGCCAGACCUGUUUACAUCACUUUGCCCUGUUGGAAGAAAAGCACAUGGAGGAAUCGUCUCAACUUUCAUCCGACUUAAUCCGUUAAUAUUCAGUGUUUUUGAAGAGUGUUAAUGAAGUGGACCUGUGAACUGAGCCCAUUUUCAACGUGGAAUCAGAGGGUCAUCAGAAGAUAUACUCUGAAGCACGGACAGCACAGCCACUUUUGCCCCUUGCUCUGCUUGUUUUAUCACCUUCAGAAG